AUGAAUAUAGUCUAUAUAGAAGAGAUAUAAGAUAGCAAAUCCAUUAUAAAUGGUUGUGAAAAAGACUUGGUGAGCUAUGAAGCUUAAAAAUCAAUGUUUAUAUAUUUUGCAUGAUUGCGUUGUAUUCUUUUUUUUUGGCAUGACUAUGUAAUAUGAACAUGUUAAGUAGUCUUAUAGUCAUGUACCAAAUAAGAAUUUCAAAUAUGUACUAAUCAUAUUAGUGAAAUAAUGAAAUAAAGAAGAACAUAUGAUAAAUAGCUGUAUAAAGGAGUACAAACCACAAAUCAAUCCAAGAUGUAUGUGUUGCAGAAAACUAAUUGUAAUACCUAAAAUUUAACCAUUAGUUUACUUAGGUGGCUUGGUCGUUGCAAAAUUCAAGUGACAUUGAUUUAGUUCUACAAUAACUUCUUUGAUAUAUUUCUUUUAAAACUUAUGAGGUAUUCUACCAUUAAAGCAUGCUGAAGAAAUAUGCCCAAUUUAUCCACAACGACAACAAUGAAGGGAAUCUUAAAGUGUGUACUCAGGUUUAUUCAUCGUACUUCUGAACAUCAUUUUCUUGAUGAUUUGAUAUCCUAUAUAUAUUUACGGCAUGUGAAUGUUAUUUGGCCAUCAUCAUCUUGUUACAAUGCUAGUUUUGAUUACUAAAUUCAUUGUUAUGAUGAUAGAAAGAAUAUCGAUUGUGACUCAAGCGAAUUAGGUAUUGUUACUGUUUAGAAUCUCGUUGCAUGAAUUUUCAUAUGCAAGAGGAUUAUAGACAUUUUUGUAACCUAAUUGCAACUAUUAAUGUAAGAAUUUUUAGAAUGUUGAUACGUUUCAGAAACUGGAAAAGGACUAAAGAAUAAUGGUACAUUGCUUUUGUUAUCGUUGACAGUAAGUUUAAUCCCAAAUAUAGUUGAGAUUUGACAUGUUCUUUCUUUCCACCACUCUCAUCAAGCGUUUGAUUGUAAGAGAUGAUUAUAUUGAUCAUUGUUGCUGACGUAGAUUUGUACUUCUAAACAGAUGGCUUUGAGCUUGUCCUCAGCUAGCUAGAUCAUGUAUUGAAGAUGUUGAUAUAAAAUAGAAUAUGUUGAUUUCAUAGCUUCCGGUUUCUGAACUUCAUUGAGAUUCUCGUCAAUAUCUACAAUGCUUCAAACGCCGAAGAGUUUGUGAACAUUGUAAAGAUUUUAGUUGUCUAGUUGGAAAGUACAACACAAGUUCACAGUCCAUAAAGGUUUGCAAUGCCAUGUAGAAAAUAAUAAUGUAAAUAUAUAUAGAUAUUAGUCAAUAGAAAAAAAAUUAGCAAACAAAUAAAAACUAACAAUUAAUUAUGUUUUGUCUAGCAAUACUUGAUAUUUGCUAUAUAUAGGAUCUUUGUAAGAAUACAUAUAAUAUGUUAGAAAUAGUUUCCAUUAAGUUUUUUUUGAAACACAAGCAUAACAUAUGUAUGUACAUUGGUUUUAUGUAAAUAUCGCUUCUGUCCAGAACUUAUAUGGGAGUGUUUGAUCAGCAAUCAUGGUUAUUUCCAUCUCCACCAAUGAUUGAUCUUUAUGUUAUGCAACACCAUUAUGUUGAAGCAAAUAUGACACUGACUUGCCUCUUGAUUCCACUGUCCUGAAUAACUUGUUAAACUCACUCAAGGCAAAUUAUUCACCACCAUUAGAUCGAAGAAUUUUGAUCAUACAUCCUGAUUGAGUCUCCACCAUAGCCUUAAACCUCAUAAACAUUAAGACAGUUUUAGACUUGUUCUUGAGAAAAUAUACCCAAAGUAAAUAUAAUAUUCCACGAACAAUAGGAAAUAUUGGCUUCCAUAAAGUGAGAUACUUCGCAUUGGACCGCAAAGAUCUAUGUGACCAAUCUCAAGUUUUUUUUUUUUUGGGUUUGAGAUUCUUUUGGAAAAGCUUCUCUUGUUUUCUUUCCAAGUUUACAUGAUCUACAUGUUUCCUUGUUGACUUGGAACUUUGGCAAACCAUUUACCAGUUUCUUGUUUUGCAUUUGUUGCGGCCUUGAAUUCCCCACAUUGCCAAAUUUUCGAUGCCAUAUCUCCAUUGUUUCUUGCUCGCUAUCAUCGAUGUUUCUUAGAUCGUAUCCGAAAACUUUUAUGCUUCAUUGGUAUAUCCUUUAUAUUCUUCCCCAUAGGUUCAAAUAUUAUGCUUCAUUGGUAUGUCCACAAUGCUAUCGAACUUCUUUGGGAGAGAAAUAUUAUGCUUCAUUGGUAUGUCCACAAUGCUAUCGAACAGAUUUUCAAGAUCAAUUAAGUUUUCGUUGAAUGCUUUGAUGUCGUCACCUUCGUUCAUUCUCAAAUCUUUGUACUCCCUCCUUAUUGAUUGUAACUUGAUCAAUCGUACUUGUGGUGUCCCUUGAUAUUCGGAUUACAAUGUUGAUAUCACUCAAAUUACUCUAAGGAGUGAAUUACUCUCUCAAAUAAGAGGUUUAGUUGUAGUAUUUAGGGAUCGAAUCCACAGAGAGCUAAGGCACACAAAAGAUCUAAUCAAAACGAUUAAGCUAAGUUGAUUUAGUUUAAUUGUAAAUUGCAGGUUUGAACAAAGUAGUUGUUCGUUUGGGUUGAUUGAGGUUUUGACACUUAAUUGGAAGUAGCUAGACUUAGGGUUUCUAUUCAGGUAAUCAGGAUUAUAGAGAUAUAGAUACUAAUCAGUUGUUUGCAUGAUAUUAAAGAGCUCAACUUAUAAGAACAAAUCAAUCAGCUUUCGCAUGUUUAGAUUUAUCUAUUGUCUAGAUCUAAUGGCCUCAACAUUCGUAUGUUGAUCAAUUAGAAAGUGUUGAUCGAUGAUUCUAGAGGAAUAUCGAUCGAUACACCUUUCACGACGUCGCUCGAUUAUUCUAUAGGAAUAUCGAUCGACGCGCUUCUAGCAAGCUUUGCGCACAGGUUGAUAAUGUCUGCUAGAAACAUCCCUCAUCUAUAAAUUAAUAAAAUUCAAAAAUUUUAAAUAAAAAUAAUCGAUCGACGCGCUUCUAGCAAGCUUUAUAAUCGACACAGGUCUGCAAUAAUAAAUCGCUCUUUCCGGGACUUGAAACCUGGAUUUCCUAUAUUCUGCAAUAAAUUGCAUAGUCAGGAAUUCGAACCCCAAACCUGGGUGUAGAAACCUUUAAACCUUAACCAUUAGGCUACGGUGCUUCCACUCCGACCUACUUUGUUAAUUCAUUAAACACUUGAUUGCAUUUCCUCUUUCAACAUUUAGUGGCGUGGCGUCUGUAUAGUUUAAUCACUUAACUUCAAUUAGAUUUUAACAUCUUAUCUAUGAAAAGAGAAGUACCAUUUUUAUCUACCAUAAAAAGUCAUACUAGCCUUAUUAGGUCCAUUUCAUUAAUUAUGUUUAUUUAAUUAUUUACAUUAAUCUUUUAAUAUAUAAAGAUAUUAAUAAUAAAUCAAUUUUAACUGUAAAUUCAAAUUUUAUUUUUAGUUGUAAUAAAACGUUGAGAAAAAAUCUAACAAAAUCUUUCUAAAAUUUUAAAAUAUUUUAUUUAAAAUAAUACCAUUAUUUUAUUAACUUGAAUGUUUUUCACGGAUGUGCGGGUGAAAAAUCUAGUUUUUGUUAACUUGAAUGUUUUCAGUAAUCUAUCUAUCUAUAAUAAUAAAAUAGAGUUUUCUCUCACCUCCUGCCUCCACAUCCUCGAGGAGAGUGGGGCUUUUGCCGACACGUGUCAGCACACCAGGGUAUUCUCUAUUUUUGCUUCCUGCCGGUCUCUACAUCUUUCAAUCAAACUGGGCUUUUAUUAUUUUGGCCCAAACUUUUGCAAACCCCUUAAAAACCAAAAUGGGAUUAGGGUUCCCCCUCCGUCUUCCUCUGCGCUGUGACAAAAGCUCAAGUCACGAUCCGAUCUACAUAACCUAUGCACCAUCCAUAACUCAGAGGUUUUGGCAAUGGCGAGAUUCAACACCGGUAAAUUCCCCACACCAUGGAGGCAAGAGAAAAUCAUAAGCUGCAUAUGAUGGUACUCCGAGAAGACUGUGUUGCUGAGUUGAACAAUUACAUAGACCCUCUCUACCGGAGAAUUUAGAUCGAAAACUUCUGACUUGCAUUUUGGAGGUUGAUGGUAAGCUGAAUCCAUGAAAGUGCAAUACCGAAUCAGGGUCUUAAGAAAGCUGAUUAGCAGAGCAUACUUGAUGAUUUAAACAAGCAGGACCCAGGGUUCACACAGCCCUCUGUUUCAGGGGCAAGGCCACAAGUGGUUCCAACCAACCUGCACUGCCGCUGGUAAUCACUAAUCCGGAAUGUGUCGAUUUUGGCCUAAUUAGAGGUCUUCGUCCAAAAUCACAUUUUGGGUUCAAGUUUGGUACCAUGCAUGCUGGUACUGGUCAGUAGGAAGACUUUGGACGCUAUAAUGUUGUUAAUGAGCUCGAGAUUCUGAAACGGUCGACCAUGAAUCCUUUGGUGUUGUGUGCCACAUCUGGCAGUGACCUACAAUAUAACGCAGUACAGUGGUGUUAGGAAACUGGAGACUGUUACAGUGACGGAGGUGAAUGCCUACGUUCUGAACUCGCCCCUAAGAAGAUUUACUGAUUCAAAGGGGUCAGCCGGUCAGGAAACCCAACAAGAAAGGCCCGAAGAGCUUAGUUUCCGUCAUGGAGCACUGUCAUGAAACCACUCUAUCGUUACUCCCAAUGCUUAAUAUUAUUUCUAUAAAUCUUAUGCUAUGCAAAUAAGGGAUUGGGCACUUAGGCGUUUUUGUCUCACUUCUAAUUUUGAUACUUCCUGAAUUUUUUUGCUUUUUUAAAUAUGAAUUCUUCUUAGUUUCCACAUAAAAUCAAAUGUCCAGCCUUUGUUA